UACAAUUCACAGUAGCAUUUUUUUUUUUGAGAGAUAGAUAGCACGCUACCCACUUCGUUUAUUUCAUUUAGAAAUAAACUUAGCUGGAAAUGUGAAUCAAUUAGGAUUCGAACUUGGGUCUCGGGUACCAACCACCAAGCACUUUGCCACUUGCUCUAGGGACGGUAGGUAAUUCCGUUUUAUCAUCUUGUGAAUAUUUAUGACUUACGGCAUUUUUAUACCAUAUUUAACGGCUGGUCUUCAUAAUAAUAUAAAGAGAAAAUCACAUAAUAGUAAAAUAAAACUUUUUUUAAGUUAACUCAUAAGUUGAUU
rnacentral:lncRNA from 1 species